CCUAUUGCCUUCGGAGGCGGGUCCCAUUCCGCCUCCCUUCACGCCCCAGGUAGUGACGUCACUGUUCCGGACGCACACAAGGCGAAGGCAUAUUUUUUCCGCUGCGGUCCGUGACUAGGGGAAACCUGCACGGCUCAAUUCGAAUAGAAUUCUGGGAUUUGUAGUUUUUUUGAGGCAUGGGAGCUCUCUGACAGAAAAGGCUAAAUGUUUUACAAAAUAGCAAGCCCCAGUUUCUAUAGCAUUGAGGCUUGGCAAUUAAAGAGCUGUCAAACUGCUAUAACAGCCUUCUUUUAUAGUUCGGCUUAAAGGCAAAAUCGACUGAGACGCUGCAGAGGGAAAUCUUCAUUUUUUAAACGCAGGACCGUACACUUGAGUUUCUUGCAGUGUGUGCGACUGUGUAUAGCAGGCAUGGACAAACUUUGGCCUUCCAGGUGUUUUGGACUCCCAACUCCCACAAUUCCUAACAGCCGGUAUACUGUUAGGAAUUGUGGGAGUUGAAGUCCAAAACAGCUGAAGGGCCAAAGUUUGCCCAAUCCCUUUGUUUCCGCGCCGCUGUGCAUUUCGAUUCCACUAAUAGCUUGUCAAACAUUUUUGGAUGUACGUAUUCCUGGAGUGUUAAGGCGAUGUUUGCUAGAUAACUUAAGUCUUCUCACAAAAAGAAAGCCAGCCUCAACCUUAGCAACAUGGAGUGGAUGAAGAAUUGGGGAGAUACAACUCCAAAUAGGGAAACAAGUUGUCCAGGAACACCUGGCCGCUCUAAACAAAUUCAAGUCCCCAGGGCCAGAUCAAUUACAUGUAGCGGAAGUUAUUUCAGAACCACUGGCAAUCAUCUUUGAAAGUUCUUGGAGAACGGGAGAAGUCCCAGCAGAUUGGAGGAAAGCAAAUGUCCCUAUCUUCAAGAAGGGGAAAAAAGGACAACCCAAACAAUUACCAUCCGGAUCAGCCUCACGUUGAUACCAGGCAAGAUUUUGGAAAAGAUCAUUAAGGAAGUGGUCUGCAAACACUUAGAAACAAAUGCUGUCAUCGCUAAUAGUCAACACGGAUUUAUUAAAAAAAAUCAUGCCAGA